rnacentral:rRNA from 1 species
AGAGUUUGAUCCUGGCUCAGAUUGAACGCUGGCGGCAUGCUUUACACAUGCAAGUCGGACGGCAGCACAGAGAAGCUUGCUUCUUGGGUGGCGAGUGGCGAACGGGUGAGUAAUAUAUCGGAACGUACCGAGUAAUGGGGGAUAACUAAUCGAAAGAUUAGCUAAUACCGCACAUUCUCUGAGGAGGAAAGCAGGGGACCUUCGGGCCUUGCGUUAUUCGAGCGGCCGAUAUCUGAUUAGCUAGUUGGUGGGGUAAAGGCCUACCAAGGCGACGAUCAGUAGCGGGUCUGAGAGGAUGAUCCGCCACACUGGGACUGAGACACGGCCCAUACUCCUACGGGAGGCAGCAGUGGGGAAUUUUGGACAAUGGGCGCAAGCCUGAUCCAGCCAUGCCGCGUGUCUGAAGAAGGCCUUCGGGUUGUAAAGGACUUUUGUCAGGGAAGAAAAGGCUGUUGCUAAUAUCGACAGCUGAUGACGGUACCUGAAGAAUAAGCACCGGCUAACUACGUGCCAGCAGCCGCGGUAAUACGUAGGGUGCGAGCGUUAAUCGGAAUUACUGGGCGUAAAGCGAGCGCAGACGGUUACUUAAGCAGGAUGUGAAAUCCCCGGGCUCAACCUGGGAACUGCGUUCUGAACUGGGUGACUAGAGUGUGUCAGAGGGAGGUAGAAUUCCACGUGUAGCAGUGAAAUGCGUAGAGAUGUGGAGGAAUACCGAUGGCGAAGGCAGCCUCCUGGGAUAACACUGACGUUCAUGCUCGAAAGCGUGGGUAGCAAACAGGAUUAGAUACCCUGGUAGUCCACGCCCUA